AUACAAUACCAUUUUCACAAAUCUAGAAUGACAUCGUCUACUAAAACUAAUUUCUCCUUAUCUGCCACUUCAAGGAACAGAGCUAAUGGAGGAUGCCAUAGUAGUCGAAGUGGGUAUGUGCAAUGUUCAAAUGAAGAGUAUCAAGAAUUUUUGAGAUACAAGUUUGAGAAAUCCACUGGCCAUUGUCAGUUUCCUUUAGUGCCAAGUAUGUCAAGUGCACGUAUCUCACAAUCUGCGGAAUGUCAAGAUUCAUGGAUUCUUGAUUCAGGUGCCUCAAAUCAUUUGUCUGGUAACACUCGUUUGUUUUCCUCCAUUACCUCUCAAAAAGUUCCUCAGUUAGUUACUAUUGCCAAUGGAUCCAAAUUGACAUCUCAAGGAAUCGGCAAAGUGUCUUUAUCUCCCUCACUGAACUUAAAUUCUGUUUUGUAUAUUCCUCAUUGUCCUUAUAACUUAAUGUCCGUGAGUCAAUUGACACGUUCAUUAAAUUGUUCUAUAACAUUUACUGCUACUUCCUUUGUCAUACAGGAACAUGGUACGGGUCGUCGAAUUGGAGAAGGAUAUGAGUCAGGAGGAUUGUAUUUCCUAAAACCUACCUCUCUUGUUUCUUGCAUUUCAACUUCAUCUCCUAAAAUUUUACAUGAUCGUUUGGGUCACCCAAAUUUGUCUAAGCUGAAGUUGAUGGUUCCAAGUCUUAAACACAUUCCUGUCUUAGAUUGUGAGUCUUGUCAGUUAGGAAAACAUGUUAGAUCUUCUUAUCCAAAGAAAUCUGAGACACGAUGUAAGUCUAUUUUUUCUACCAUUCACUCUGAUAUUUGGGGACCGAGUCGGGUUACUUCCUUUGGUUUUAACUAUUUUGUAACCUUCAUUGAUGAAUUUUCUCGAUGUACGUGGGUUUAUCUUAUGAAAGAGAGAUCUGAACUUUUAGCCAUUUUUAUGUCCUUUGUUAAUGAAAUUCAAAAUCAAUUUGGAAAGACAAUUAAAAUUCUCAGAAGUGAUAAUGCUAAGGAAUAUUUUUCUGCUGCAUUUUCUUCAUUUUUAUCUUCCAAAGGAAUUUUACAUCAGUCAACAUGUCCUCACACUCCACAACAAAAUGGCAUAGCUGAGAGAAAGAAUAGACAUCUUAUUGAAACAGCACGUUCUCUGAUGUUAAAUACUAAUGUUCCUGUUCAUCAUUGGGGGGAUGCAAUCCUCACUGCCUGUUUUCAAAUCAAUAGGAUGCCGUCUUCCUCUCUUGAGAAUAAAGUUCCUUAUUCUGUUAUUUUUCCAAAUGACGCCCUAUAUCAUAUUCCCCCACGUGUAUUUGGGUGUACAUGUUUUGUCCAUAAUGUUUCUCCUGGUCUUGAUAAACUUUCUCCCAAGUCUAUUAAAUGUGUCUUUUUGGGAUAUUCUCGCAUUCAGAAAGGAUAUAGAUGUUAUUCUCCCUCCACAAGAAGGUAUUAUAUGUCUUCUGAUGUCACCUUUUUUGAGGAUACACCCUUCUUCUUGUCUUCCAAGGAGUAUCCUUCAUCUGUUGAAGAGAUGCUUCCUAUACCAUUAUGUGAUCCCUUGGUCAUUCCCGCUUCUCCAUCUUCAGCUCAAACUCAGAAUGCACAAGAUAUUGUUGAACCACCUUCCUCCGUGCCUGAAGAUCCUCGAGACUCAGCUCCUUCUCCAUCAGAUUCUCAGACCAUGGAUCCUUCAUCCUCUUCGUCCUCUCUUGACUCAAAUCAAGCUUGGCCUAUUGCUCUUCGAAAAGGUAUUCGAUCUACUCGAAAUCCUUAUCCUGUUUAUAAUUUUUUAAGUUACCAUCGUCUGUCUCCUACAUAUUUCUCCUUUGUUUCCUCCCUUUCUAACAUCAAAGUUCCUAAUAAUGUUCGUGAGGCACUUGAUCACCCUGGAUGGCGACAAGCCAUGAUUGAUGAAAUGCAGGCACUUGACAAAAGUGGCACUUGGGACCUUGUACCUCUUCCUCCUGAUAAGAAACCCGUGGGAUGCAGAUGGGUAUAUGCUAUUAAAGUUGGUCCUACUGGUGCCAUUGAUCGUCUUAAAGCUCGUCUAGUCGCAAAGGGAUAUACUCAGGUUUAUGGUCUCGACUAUUGUGAUACUUUUUCUCCGGUGGCCAAAAUCAGUAGUGUUCGUCUAUUUCUUGCCAUGGCUGCCAUUAGACAAUGGCCACUUCACCAGUUGGAUAUUAAAAAUGCCUUUCUUCAUGGUGAUCUGGAAGAGGAGAUAUACAUGGAGCAACCUCCUGGAUUUAGUUGUGUUGCUCAGGGGGAGUCUAAGUUAGUUUGUAAAUUACGUCGUUCACUCUACGGUUUGAAACAAUCACCUCGAGCUUGGUUUGGUAAAUUUAGCCAUGUUGUGCAACAAUUCGGAUUAAAACGAUGUGAAGCAGAUCAUUCAGUGUUUUAUGGGCAUUCUACUCCUGAUAAAUGUGUUUAUCUAAUGGUUUAUGUUGAUGAUAUUGUAAUCACAGGAAAUGAUGUUGCAAGAAUUGCUCAAUUAAAGGAUCAUUUGUUCAACCACUUUCAAACUAAAGACUUAGGUCGGUUGAAAUAUUUCCUUGGUAUUGAAGUGGCACAAUCAAAAGAAGGAGUCAUCAUUUCACAAAGAAAAUAUGCCCUGGAUAUUUUGGAGGAAACAGGUCUGACAGAUUGCAAGCCCAUUGAUAGUCCUAUGGACUCAAAUAAAAAGUUAAUGAAAGACCAUGGUGAACCUUUCUCAGAUCCAGAAAGAUACAGAAGGUUGGUUGGAAAACUGAUAUAUCUCACCAUAACAAGACCUGAUCUUUCUUAUCCAGUGGGAGUUGUGAGCCAAUUUAUGCAAAAUCCUCAUAUUGAUCAUUGGAAUGCCGUGGUCCGCAUCCUUAGAUAUGUAAAAGGGAAUCCAGGUCAUGGACUAUUGUAUGAGAACAAGGGAAGUACUGAGUUAGAAGGAUAUUGUGAUGCAGAUUGGGCUGGUUGUCCGAAUGAUCGAAGAUCUACUACAGGAUAUUGUGUACUCCUUGGAGGGAACCUUGUAUCAUGGAAAAGCAAGAAACAAAGUGUUGUUGCUCGAUCUAGUGCAGAAGCUGAAUACCGAUCUAUGGCCAUAGCUACAUGUGAACUUAUAUGGAUCAAACAACUCCUUCAAGAAUUAAAAUUCUGUGAAAACAAGCCUAUGAAGUUGUAUUGUGAUAACCAAGCAGCUCUUCACAUUGCCUCCAAUCCAGUGUUCCAUGAGAGAACAAAACAUAUAGAAAUUGAUUGUCAUUUCAUCAGAGAGAAGUUAUUGUCCAAGGAUCUCAUUACAGAAUUUGUCAAUUCUAAUGAACAAUUUGCAGAUAUUUUUACUAAGUCUUUAAGAGGGCCUAGGAUUCAGUUUAUAUGUUCCAAGCUUGGUGCAUAUGAUUUAUAUGCUCCAGCUUGAGGGGGAGUGUUAAAAUGUAUUAUGUUUAUGUUGUUGUUUGAUGUUGUUUGUGUGUGUACCCAACUUGAGAAGUGGGUUAUAUUGUGUAAUUGUGUUCUGUCAUGGUAUUCUAUAUAUAUAUAUAUAUAUAGAAUACCAUAACCUUGUAACUUACACUUUUCAUAUAUGAAUAAAAUGUCUUAGUGUUUUAACAAAGGGUAUAGCCUUUGGUGGUACAACUGUUGAGUUAAUUGGUUAGGUUGCUAUAAACAGAACAAGAGAAUGUGAUAGGAACUUAGUAUCUUAUAUUUGAAGAAAAUAAGAAAUUGUCCUAUGUAUACUACGGUUAACCUGCAUAACUUUGAAGGUCUGCUUCUCCAGCUCCUAAAGGCUUCAAGGUUCUCUCAAAUGGCUGAGAUUUCCCCUCUUAGGCAACAUGACUUGUUUCUUUAAUGGAAAAUUGCCUAACUAUUUAUCUAACAAAGUAAUGGGGAUCUACCUUAACACUGAAGGCAUUGGUUAGUUGAUCAAUUUGUUUUGGGUUUGGAUUUCAGGCAUUACAAUUCCUUGGGAAACUUAAUUCUUACCCUGGAUACUUGACAGAGUUGGAGGAGGGGAUCCAAUUCAGAUUUUGUCACUUUCUUAACCUGUAUUGUACUCUACUUACAUGCACAACCAAAGGAAAUGCUAGCAUAAGGUCCAUUGAACUUGCUGAUUCUUCUACAGAAUCUUCCUGUACUGACUCUCCAAAAACAUGGAAUGUAUGCUCUGGUGGUAA